rnacentral:lncRNA from 1 species
UACAGCUCCAUAUAAAAAUAUUGAAUAGCAAAUAUAUCCCUAUAAAGUUCAAGUUUUCAUUUUUAUCCUUGCAAAAGUCCAGGAUAUUCAUAUUUACCCCUCUGGUUUGUUAUAGUUAGUGCAUUGUUUAUUUUUUAAUAGCAGAUAAGUGAAAUGAUAUUUUUACCCUUACAAAUAUAUCCCUCCAAAAGCGCCAACUGUUAAAAUUAUGCAAAAAUAUCCUCCCAAAAAAGUAUUCUACCUAAUAAUAUAAGGGGGGUAAAAAGAUCAAUUUAACUCAUUCACUAAUAAGGAUUAAGUAUUUUACUUAUGGUUAACUAUAUCUUUCUAAUAGAUCCUAAUAGCAGGAGUAUAUUUAAAAAUAUUAGGACUUUUGAAGGGACAAAAAUUAAAAGUUGAACUUUGUAAAGAUAUAUCUGUUAUUCAAUAGGUUUAUAAGGAGUUGUAUGCAUUUAACACUUGUUUUUUCUUCUUCCUAUUCGGUUCCAUGUUUUGCUUUUCCUAUUUCUUAAGGUGCAGUUUCUGAUACUACUUCAACUGGGGCAUGUGCAGCAUCGUUUGCUGCUAUUUUUUACUUCAGCUGCAAGAUGUGUUCAUCUACAGUUGCUGCUCAAGCUGCUUUUGUUUCAACCGAGCAAUGCGUUGUUGUUUCUGUUGCCAUAGCUUCUGCAUCAGCUGCUGCUUCAAAUGCAAUUUAUUCUAUUGAUUUAGCAGAGAUCAAGCUGCUGUUGCUUUAGCUGAGAAAUAUGCUACAGCUUCUACAUCUGUUGCUACUUUAAGUACAGAUUAUGUGUAACAUACCAAAUUUUAGUAUAAAAAUAAAAAUAAAUAAAAAUAGUGUGAGAAACUAUUUUUAUUGAAUUUAGAGAAGUAAAACAUAAGUCAGAAAUGAUUUAUGCUGAAAUCGGAAUGAAAACAGAAAAUUUAGAAUUUUCUAUUAGAAACGAGACAGAUAAAUUAGUAGAAAAUAUACAGUAUCAGAAAAUUCUGAAAAUUGGAGGAUAAGCCAGAAUUAUUUUUAUGAGGCUAGAUUUAAAGUUUCAUGUCAUUCUGACACCCGGAAGAUAGAAAAUAAAAUCCGACAGCUAUCUGAUAAAUAUUACAGUUCGGUACAGCUUUCGGUGACCAAACCGAAUCGAAACUAAAAUAUUAAAAUUUUUUUGGACUCGUUAAGUAAAACCGAAUAUAACUGUCAAAUUUGAGCUCAAACAGAUGUUCAGGGAGUUCCGACGAAAAAUACCAAAUUUCGAACUGCCCGAAAAUGAAUAGUGCUUUGGGGUGUAAUGUAUUAAGAAGCCUUUUGCUUCUUCUUCCUCAGCCGACCACACCACCCCACAACACACGCACGCAUGGGAAGGGAGAGAGAAACUCUCCUUUCUCUAUCUAAAGAUCUCUCUCAUCUCUCCAAAUCUCUCUAUAAAAAUUUGAGGGUUGGUAGAGAGCGAACUUGCGAAUGCGUUGGAGGCGUCGGUUCGAGCUCUCGUGCGGCCGUUAGAGCGGCGUGCUAUCGUCGCGGCGUUCACAUUGUGGUAAACUUUUGGAAUUUGGCUUAAUCCUUACCUUUAAGUAUUCUAAUAGCGUCUAAUGAGCAUUGUUAGCAUGUUACUCCAUUUAAUUUGGAUUAUUUAGAGGUUAAUUGCAUAUUAGGGCUCCGAAUCGGAUUUUAGAAAAUAGUAGGGUGUGAUCUCAUUUGACCCUCUAUAAACCUAAUUGCUAGGUGAACGAAUGCGUUGGCGAAGUCGGUUCGGCGAUUCGUCGAGCCUACGCGAAGUUAUUAAAGAAACGGACGUUUAGCCUUCGUUUCCGCCUAGAGGGCCGAGGCGACUUCGUAAAAUCAUGAAAAUGUAUUUGGAGCACCGUGACACAUAAUCUAAGACUUUAAUUUUCGGAUCGUGGAUUGGAGGCCGUUCGGGUGGUCGCGCGAGAGUUCGGGCUGAACCGGAUGCCGGGUGCCGCGGGAGGCCGAUUGCAAGUGACUACAAGCAAUGGGAGAGCGUUACGAGGUGGGUUGUGCUCACCGAAGCGAUUAGGUCGCUUCCAUGUCGAAGUGGAGUAUGGUUUUCUAAUUGAUGCAUACAUACAUUAUGAUUGCUAAUUGCAUUGGUAGUUGAUUGUAAAGUAAAUGAAUGUACGAGAUUAUGCUAAUCAAUAAUGCAUAAAUGAGAUAUUAAUAAGGAAUACAUAAGCUAUAUGCUAAGAGAAUGAAUGAUCUAGAUGCUAAAGUAUGCAUGUGCAUGAAAUGCUAAAGAACAUAUGAAUGUUGAUAUUAUUAGAAAUAUGCUAGCUGGUAUAUGUGGAUGAUGACAUAUUGUGAAUUAUUAUAUUGUGGAUUAUGUUAAAUGGAGAUAUAUACAUGAUGACAUAUUGCAUAUGAUAGAUGAACUAUGCACGUUGACAUAUAGAGGAUUAUGUUAAUUGACAUUUGUAUGUUGAACUUGGGUCGGUAAACUCUAGGUGAAUUAGAGAACUUGACGUUGGAAAAUAAUAACGUAUUGAACUAUGAUAUACGAUGUGGACAAGUAGGAUAUCAAAAAGAUCGAGUGGCAUAUGAUUAGUGUAGUGGAAACACUUAUAGCAUGUUGAACACUUAGAGAACAAGUGUGGCAUUAGUGAAUGAGUUCAAGAAUAUAGUAGUGCAUAUGACCUUAGUUAGUUAAUUCGCGUUUAAUUUGCGAAUUAUUCGCGACUUUUUCGAAAACCGAAUUAAACGCCGGCAUCCGAAUUUUUCCAAAACAUGCGUAAAAAAACGUGUUUUUUUCAGCAAUAAUAAUCAUCCGCGAAUCAUUCGCGAUUCGCGAAUGAUUCGUCCAAAGAAACGGCGGUCGCGGACUCGCGGCCGCGUCGUCGCCGCCAUCGUCGGCGUCCUCCUCCUCCAUCGCUUUCGUCGCGGAACUUUGGAUCACUGUAAAAUUCCUCGAAAAAAAAAAUUUUCGCUAAAAUUUUUUUUUCCAAACAAUAGGUUGUCCCUCAAAUUUUUUUUUAAAAAAUUAUUUUAUAAAUUUUGAAAAAAAAAUCGAGUUUGUGACUUGAGACUUGAGAGCAAGCGGUAGAAAUGGCGCUGGGUUUGGGAAGAAGAAGAAGGAAAAUCGGGGCUUUCGAGAACAGGAUGGGGCGCGGUCCACGAGGCCACUUUGGCCUCGUGGACCGCAUGAGAGGGAGGUCCACCGUGGACCUCCCUCUCAUAAGUCAUUAACUUUAUAUAUAUAUAUAUAUAUAUAUAAAAUUUUAUUUAUAAAUAUAUAUUUAUUUAUUAUAUAUAGUAUUCUAUUUUUAUAUAAAAAUAUUAUUAUAUAACAUUUUAUUUAUAAUGAUAAUAUAGUUUGCUAUUCUUUUUACUUAAUUAGCUUAAUUUUGUAGUUUUUUAUUCUUAUAUUCUUAAGAAAUAUGAGUAUUUAUACUAAUAGAAUAAAUCUUGAGAAAAAAUAAUUUUAAUUUAAUAGCCGAAUUUUUGAUCCCGAAUUUUUAAUUGAAGAACGUAUAAUAUCCGUAUAAAUCACGUAUCCGAAUAAUUACUGAAUCCGUUUUUUAGCCGUAUUUUUCAACGAAUUUAAAAAUUAGAAGACGAAUUUUAUCCGAAUUAUAUCCGUACCGAAUUUUUGCCGAAUCCGAAUUAACUAACUAUGCAUAUGACACAAGUGAUGGUAAACAAUGCAAAGAAAAGAAUGAUUGAGAUAUUAUGACAUUUCAAUAUUAGAGUUAAGGGUCAUUUGAGCAUGGUCAUCCUUAAAGUUAAGGAAUGGAUUGAACUUGGAAUCCUCAAUCCAGGAUUGAUCGUACUCACCUUUAGUCCUUGCUCGAGGGUGGUAGCUCCCCCUCGGGCGAUGUGCUCCGGAGUCGACAUCACUGGGUUGUAGCGGGUAUCUCCCCAGAGAACGGUCCUAUCGGGUUGUAGCGUGUAUCUCCCCGGUUAAUAGGAUUUUGGGUUGGUGAGUUUGUUGAGUGCGAAACCUACGGGUUAGCCAAGAGAUUGGGUAAUAAAAUCUUUCAUUCAUCAUGAAUUGACUCAAGACCGAGUUGAGUGGCAUAGUUGGCUAAGGUCAAUGUAACCUUAGGAAAGAAUGAAAACUGAGUAAAGUGUGGCUAAGAAUAAAGAAUAAAGAAUGACAUGUGAUACAGAAUUGCCAAUAUUAUAAAGAAUAGUAAGUGAUAGAGAGUAGAAUCAAUUAAUCUACUUGUAUGAGUUGCUUGAUAUACAUAUUGCAUGUCUUGAGGCACAAACAUGUAUUUAAUAUUUGUAUUAAUUAUUUGUGGAUAUCUGUUGGAGUAACAUGUUUGUAAUGCCUCCUUUGGACUUGGUGGGUCGAGCUUUUUCCUUGGGUAGCCGUACCUACUGGGAACUAUGGAUAAUAGUUCUCACCCCCGUGUUGUUUUUGGGGGUACAGGUUCACACGUGAGCGGCGCGGCGGUGCGAGGAAAGGGUGUAGCUCCGUAGAUAGCGCCCUACCACCGAGACCAGAAAUAGCAUUACCCCGAGUCGGCUUAGCUAGGGGUUGUAGAAAAGAUGUAAAACAAUAUUGUAAUAAUCUUGAUUGUAUUUGGAAGAAAAGAAAAGGAAAAGUGUAAUAUGUGAUGUAGAAUGUAUUAAGUAAAUUGAAUGCAUGUAAUAACUUAGUUGUUUAUGUUUUUGAUACUUCCUUAUGCAAUCUGUAUGUUGAAUAUCGUUCCUGGUUGGAAACUCUUGUAAUGUAUUGAUUGCGACGCCUUGGACGUACAGGGUAGACUCUGUCCGCGGUACAGGAGAAAUCCUGUCCGUUCGGCGGUCUGUUGGCGUGCCCGAAUCCGACCAAAAAGGCGGGCUCGGGCCGUGACAGAUAAGAUGGUAUCAAAGCAUAAACGAAAUAUAAAAAGAAUAAUAGAAAAUGGUUUAGUUGGAUCUAGGAGACCCUAGGAUAGUAAACCAUAGGAGAUUAAGACUCGUGAGAGCCGAGGACUUGUGACUUGUGGCGAAAGGAUAAUGGAUUGGGUUAUGUCGUAAACCUCUAAAACGGAUAUUAGAGGUAGAUUCAAGGUGUGGUUUAUUCUCAGCCAAGGGUGUUCAUGUUGGGCAUGCACAACAUGAAGCCGAGUGAUGAGAAUAUACGCCUUUGUGUGACUUUCGCCCGAUUUGAGUCAGUGUUAGUUGUCUCGUGUUCGGCCAGAGGGUCGAGGGUCGAAUAGAGUUGUCGCGUUUUAGGAAGCGAUAGCACCGCGUAGGCGAUCUUCAUUUCGAUCGGCGCGGGAUGGGACAAGUGUUGUCCCUGAGCAAUUCAACGUGAGCGGAUUAAGGGACUCCAAGAAAUGGUUGGUCGAUUGGUGAUCGUACCAGUUUCGGCUCGUCGAGUACGGCCGGGAGUCGCAGCGGAAACGUUUUCGUCGAGGUUUAGCAGUUCGUUGGUGGAGGCAGUGAGGAGGGCGAGCUUUGGCGGCCCUCAUGACCUUCAAGCAAUUUGAUCCGCCCACCUAUGGUAGAGAGGAUGCGGAUCCAAGAAUCGUGGAGUUAUGGAUCGACUCCAUGGAGGCUCUCUUUGAGGGUCUAUGUGCUAUGGAGCGGGAUAAGGUACGGCUAGCCGUGCAUUGUCUGAAACAAUCGACGAUGGUGUAGUGGUAGGCGUCAAGCGGAUUUGAUCGCCUAGUUUCCCUCAUGUCGUUUGGGAUGAGCUUCGGGGUGUGUCAUGUUCUACGUACCUCCCCGAUAGUGAAAGGAGAAAGCUUCAGGAGAGGUUCUGGAAGCUGCGGUAAGGAGACCGCACCGUGAGGGAUUAUGAGCGCGAAUUCUCCCGUAUCGUGAGUUGCAUCCCGAAUGUGAAGCGGGAUGAUGAGGAUGUGGCCGAUUUGAUUGUGCGGAGACUUCGGCCGGACAUUUUCAAGGUUGUGCACAUAAGGAAGUGAAUUCUCGAAGUACAAGGAUUGGACUUCGUGUGGAAUCGACUGAGGGUCGUGUUGGUAUGCUUCGGAAGGACCGAAGGCGUCAAAAGUAGUAAAGGUGCGUCAUUGGGGAUCUUCGAGAGCUAGGGAUUUGAAAAUCUGCAAACUGCAGGUUUUCUGCCCUCGGGAACCGGUCCCUGUGGGGAGAGACCGAUCCCAAGAGACUGGUUCCAUCGGGGGGAGAUCGCUUGCCUCAUGCGUAGCCUGCGCGGCCCCCGGGAGAAGCUCUCGAAGACCGGUCCCUCGUCGGGGAGACCGGUCCCCAAGCCCGAAAAUGGCCUAGUCAGGGCAGUGUAAAAGAAUAAAAGUUGAGGGGCUUAUUUGCACUUAUGCAACAUGUGGGGCUAUGUGGGGGGUAUGAGAGCUCUUUUCUCUCAUUUCUCACCCACACACCCUCUCAUAUCUCUCUUUCUCUCUCUAGAAGACAAGAAGAGGAAGAAAAAAGGAAAGGAAAGAAAGAAAAUGAGAAGGAGUCUUCCUUAUCUUCUUCAUCUUCUCCUUGGUUGGAGCUUCACGGAGAGGUAAGCUUGUAAGCUCUCUCUCAUGGUGGAUUUCUAGAGAUAGGUUUGAUUGCUCUAGAAAUGGAGUUUUGUAUUAUCUGAGGGCGUAGUACCUGCCAGUACAGGUAUAGAGCCGGAUGGCACUAGCGAAGUGCUAGAAGUAAUCUAUGGCGAGAAGUGAGACUCGCGGUAGAGAUAGAAGUGGCGACACGACUCUCAGAGCAAUAUGAGCAGUGAAUUGCGAGAGUUGAGCCAUGAUGCUUAUGAGAACACCCGAGUGGUCCGAAAAUUUCGGAUGUCAUUCCGGUAGAUCGAACAGUGAAAGUAGCAUCACUGUUGAGAGAACGGUCGAUUAGUGGCCAAGUUUGAGCACGUGAGCCUAGUAGUACCUCAAGGUAAGGUAGGCGGUUGCGCUCGUGCGGUCGGUGUGCAUAGGCAAAAUUGCCUAAUGCUGGACUUCGUGUGGAACGCUGUAGAGGCAUAGAGCGCUGGAGUGUAGAUAACCGUAGAGUGCGAAUGUGGAUUCAGCUGAGAGAGUGCAUUGGCAGUAGCACUUGAGCAUUGCUAGGUGUGAAGCGUGCCAUGGAUCACUCGUGGGACUGGUGACUCGCACUAGGUGCAUAGGAGCCGAUAUUGGAACGUGUGACUCGAUAGAGUAUGGUGUGUAGGACGACGACGGCGGGUAGUGCUUGGGGAUGACCCGUGCCUAGACCAUUUGUGGACUGUGGAGCCUGAGCCCAUUGAGCAGGCGCAGUUAGUUGUGAGUGACAGCGGCCCAGUACCUACCGGUAGGGCAGAGUUCUGGUCAGAACGGUAGUCCGAGCUUAGACCCGGGAGCGUGGAAUGCCACGUGAUAGAUUGUGUGACCGAUGGUACACCGACUAUGGUUGUGACCCAACUCGAGGACUUGACGUGGUUUGGGGUCUUAGUUGCUCCUGGUUGGAGUGUGUGCGAAUUCCCAAGUGAGAAUUUCGCCCGAUGAUUAUUGGGUCUGUAUUUGCGAGCAAGAGACGCUGCGUAUUGAGACAGAUUUAGGUGAUUGGCCUACGUAGGAUUUGUGGCCUUUGGUCCACCUAUGGAGACCGAAGAAAGCGAUUUGGCAGAUAGCCUUAUCGAGGAGUUUGACUCGAAUUCACGAACGAAGCGCUCGCGUAAGCUCGUUACAAAAAUAGUUUGAUGCUGAUUGUGGCAUGUGGUAUCAGAUGAUGAAGUAUUCCUUAUGAGACAUCGAACUAGUGGAAAGCCACGUGAUGUUGGAGACUAUGCUCGUAAGCGAACUAAGACUUGAGAUGUACCGAAGUGGGCCAUCUCGCGUUAAAGUUAAGGGUCAGUGCGAAAUUAGAGCACUCACGACGGAGCGAUGCAUCGGUGAUAUUGCUUCUAAGCAACGUCGGUGAUCGAAUCAGAAGGUAUUCCCUGAAGGGAAGGUAAGUGCAAAGAAGAGUUCUUUGUGUACCGAAUGGCGAAUGGUAUUGGAGUGCGUAGAGUCGUCGAGUACCGACUUGCGCUGCCACUAUGACUCGCAAGACCCGUGAUGCACUUUUGUAUCACACCUUGCAAAUGUGUCUAGGAUUAAACCCACAUCAUUCCGUAUGAGCCGCUUCUGGAACCACGAUAGUGUAAAGCCGCUCUGGAGUGGGAGAAUGAGUUGGUAUCCUCAAUUGCUCGCGGAGCUGAAUUGAGGCGUGGUUUGAAUUUCGCGGACGAAAUUCUUUUUAAGGGGUGGAGAAUGAAACAUACCAGAUUUUGGUAUAAAAAUAAAAAUAAAUAAAAGUAGUGUGAGAAACUAUUUUUAUUGAAUUUAGAGAAGUAAAACAUAAGGAAGAAAUGACUUGUGCUGAAAUCGGAAUGAAAAUAAAAGAUUUAGAAUUUUUUGUUGGAAACGGGACAGAUAAAUUAGCAGAAAAUGCACAGUAUCAGAAAAUUAUGAAAACUGGAGGAUAAGCCAGAAUUAUUUUUAUGAGGCUAGAUUUAAAGUUUCAUGUCAUUCUGACACCCGAAAGGUAGAAAAUAAAAUCCGACAGCUAUCUAAUAAAGAUUAUAGUUCGGUACAGCUUUCGGUGACCAAACGGGGUCAAAACUGAAAUAUUAAAAUUUCUUUGGACUCGUUAAGUAAAACUGAACAUGACUGUCAAAUUUGAGCUCAAACAGAUGUUUAGGGAGUUCCGGCAAAAGAUAUCAGAUUUCGAACUGCCCGGAAGUGAAUAAUGUUUUGGGGUGUAAUGUAUUAAGAAGCCUUUUGCUUCUUCUUCCUCAGCCGACCACACCACCCCACAACACACGCACGCAUGGGAAGGAAGAGAGAAACUCUCCUUUCUCUCUCUAAUGAUCUCUCUCAUCUCUCCAAAUCUCUCUCUAAAAAUUUGAAGGUUGGUGGAGAGCGAGAUUGCGAACGCGUUGGAGGUGUCGGUUCGAGCUCUCGUGCGGCCGUUAGAGCGGCGUGCUUUCGUCGCGGCGUUCACAUUGUGGUAAGCUUUUGGAAUUUGGCUUAAUCCUUAGCUUUAAGUGUUCUAAUAGCCUCUAAUGAGUAUUGUUAGCAUGUUGCUCCAUUUAAUUUGGAUUAUUUAGAGGUUAAUUGCAUAUUAGGGCUCCGAAUGGAAUUUUGUAAAAUAGUAGGGUUUGAUCUCAUUUGACACUCUGUAAACCUAACUGCUAGGUAAACGAAUGCGUUGGCGAAGUCGGUUCGGUGAUUCGUCGAGCCUACACGAAGUUAUUCAAGAAACGGACGUUUAGGCUUCAUUUCCGCCUGGAGGGCCGAGGCGACUUCGUAAAAUCAUGAAAAUGGAUUUGGAGCACCGUGACACAUAACCGAAGACCUUUAAUUUCUGGAUCGUGGAUUGGAGGCCGUUCGGAUAGUCGCGCGAGAGUUCGGGCCGAACCGGGUGCCGGGUGCCGCGGGAGGCCGAUUGCAAGUGACUACAAGCAAUGGGAGAGCGUUACGAGGUGGGUUGUGCUCUCCGAAGCGAUUAGGUUGCUUCCAUGUUGAAGUGGAGUAUGGUUUUCUAAUUGAUGCAUACAUACAUUAUGAUGGCUAAUUGCAUUGGUAGUUGAUUGUAAAGUAAAUGAAUGUAUGAGAUUAUGCUAAUCAAGAAUGCAUAAAUGAGAUAUUGAUAAGGAAUACAUAAGCUAUAUGCUAAGAGAAUGAAUGAUCUAGAUGCUAAAAUAUGUAUGUGCAUGAAAUGCUAAAGAACAUAUGAAUGUUGAUAUUAUUAGAAAUAUGCUAGUUGGUAUAUGUGCAUGAUGGCAUAUUGUUAAUUAACAUAUUGUGGAUUAUGUUAAAUGAAAAUAUAUACAUGAUGACAUAUUGCAUAUGAUAGAUGAACUAUGCAUGUUGACAUAUAGAGGAUUAUGUUAAUUGACAUUUGCAUGUUGAACUUGGGUCGGUAAACUCUAGGUGAAUUAGAGAACUCGACGUUGGAAAAUAAUGACGUAUGAACUAUGAUAUGCGAUGUGGACAAGUAGGAUGUCAAACAGAUCGAGUGGCAUAUAAUUAGUGUAGUGGAAACACUUAUGGCAUGUUGAACACUUAGAGAACAAGCGUGGCAUUAGUGAAUGAGUCCAAGAAUAUAGUAGUGUAUAUAACACAAGUGACGGUAAACAAUGCAAAGAAAAGAAUGAUUGAGAUAUUAUAACAUUUCAACCUUAGAGUUAAGGGUCAUUUGAGCAUGGUCUUCCUUAAAGUUAAGGAAUGGAUUGAACUUGGAAUCCUCAAUGCAGGAUUGGUCGUACUCACCUUUAGUCCUUGCUCGAGAGUGGUAGCUCCCCCUUGGGCGAUAUGCUCCGGAGUCAACAUCACUAGGUUGUAGCGGGAAUCUCCCCAGAGGACUGUCCUAUCGGGUUGUAGUGGGUAUCUCCCCGGUUAAUAGGAUUUUGGGUUGGUAAGUUUGUUGAGUGCGAAACCUACGGGUUAGCCAAGAGAUUGGGUAAUGAAAUCUUGCAUUCAUCAUGAAUUGACUCAAGACCGAAUCGAGUGGCAUAGUUGGCUAAGGUCAAUGUAACCUUAGGAAAAAAUAAAAACUGAGUAAAGUGUGGCUAAGAAUAAAGAAUAAAGAAUGACAUGUGAUACAGAAUUGUCAAUAUUAUAAAGAAUGGUAAGUGAUAGAGAGUAGAAUCAAUUAAUCUAUUUGUAUGAGUUGCAUGAUCUACAUAUUGCAUGUCUUGAGGCACAAACAUGUAUUUAAUAUUUGCAUUAAUUAUUUGUGGAUAUCUGUUGGAGUAACAUGUUUGCAGUGCCUCCUUUGGACCUGAUGGGUCGAGCUUUUUUCUUGGGUGGCCGUACCCACUGGGAACUAUGGAUAAUAGUUCUCAACCCCGUGUUGUUUUUAGGGGGACAGGUUCACACGUGAGCGGCGCGGUGGCGCGAGGAAAGGGCGUAGCUCCGUAGAUAGCGCCCUACCACCGAGACCAGAAAUAGCAUUACCCCGAGUCGGCUUAGCUAGGGGUUGUAGAAAAGAUGUAAAACAAUAUUGUAAUAAUCUUAAUUGUAUUUGGAAGAAAAGAAAAAAAAAAAGUGUAAUAUGUGAUGAGAAUGUAUUAAGUGAAUUGAAUGUAUGUAAUAACUUAGUUGUUUAUAUUUUUGAUACUUUCUUAUGCAAUCUGUAUGUUGAAUAUCGUUCCAGGUUGGAACCUCUUGUAAUGUAUUGAUUGCGACGCCUUGGACGUACAGGAGAGACUCUGUCUGCGGUACAAAGGAAAUCCUGUCCGUUCGGCGAUCUGUUGGCGUGUCCGAACCCUACCAAAGAGGCGGGCUCGGGGCGUG